rnacentral:misc_RNA from 1 species
ACCGCAACUCGCACAAACAAGAAAGGAGGAAAGAGGCAAGGAGAAAGCAUCUGGCCUUCCAUCCUUUUUUCCUUCCUCCCUCUCACUCAUCUCUCUGAAAACGUUGUUAGACACCUAUAGAUAUACUCUUAGCUGUGCCGCCCUCAACCACAAGCAGGCGCCCGAGUCGACUCCGUCCGUUUUUCGCUUCUUCUUCCUGUGGCAUCAACGGCGCGUUGUGCACAAGUCGGCAGUAUAUAUUGCGUCACGCAAGCAAUCACGAACACCGUGGUCCUUCCCCCACCCGACAUCAUUCUUUUUCCAGCGCUUCCUCGUCUGCAUGAAGGCUGCCACUGCAUUCGUCGUGGGGGACAUUGUCCUGCCCCUGCCUCGCACAUUCUCUGUUUUCGAGAAUCAGCUGGUGCUGCCGGACGGCAUCACGGUGCGCCACGGCGAUGAUUUCAAUGUCACCAUCAUCAGCCACUUCCUCGUCGCCGUGAAGCCCUUAAACGCCGAUGCGGAGAUCGUCGUGAACUUCAACUUGUGCUUCUACGACCUGCUAAAGUCGAGCAUGUCGCCAGCAAUGUCGGCGAGCGAGAGGGAAGGCACACACACGCCAAACGCGAAGUCAGCGCACACCUUCGAGCGCCCCGUUGUGCCAGGCUUCCGCUAUCUCAAGGAGGAAGCCAAGCAGGAGCUGUACCGCUUCGCCGAUGAGCAGGUGCGGCAGCAGGCCAUCGACGACGGCUUCCUCCCGCGUGGCAGCGACGAGGGCCAGCUGACGGUGAUGCGGGCGAAGGCUGGCGAGCCGGUGGCAGUCAGCACCAAAGAACACGAAGAAGGCGACGUCGUCUUCGAGACGACCGGCGUGCCGCUGCCGUUCCCGAUUCGCAGCACUGUCGAGCUCCCGGGCGACUUGCAUCUGCGGCUCACAGGCGGCUCCGAGUUCCUGCAGCACUCCUGCCUCCCGAACGUUCGCCUCGAGAUCAACGGUGUGCACAUCCGCGGCAUAGCCCUGCGCGCCAUCGAGGCAGACGAAAAGCUGACCUACAACUACCUCACAACGGAGUGGGAAAUCAGCAAGGUGUUUCACUGCUCCUGCAACGUGUACUGCUGCUACGGCUUGAUCAAGGGAUUCCGCUUCCUCGAUCGCGAGCAGCAGGAGCACCUGCUGCCGCACUGCAGCCCCGCCGUGUGCGAAAAACACCGCUCGCCGCUGCUCUCAGGAGCUACUUUUGGCGCCUUGAAUGGCAGCACAGCGCUGUUCACGACGGCAGAGGGCCGCCUGACCUCACAGCGCGAUCUUGCGGCGGGCACAGUGCUGUUCGAGGUCUGUGGCACCCCGCAGCUGCAGCAAAGCGAGCUUGUGCUUGAGCGGCUGCGCCUGUCGCACUCGUGUAAUGCGAACACCGUCCUCGUGAAUGGCCGCGUCGUCGCGUCUCGCCCGCUCUCCGUCGGCGAUGCGGUCACUUGCAACCUGAACCUCCUCUACUACACGCUCUCGCCAGCCCUGCCGUGUGCCUGCGGCUCGGUCAGCUGCACUGGUCACGUCGACGGCUUCAAGGCGCUUCCUGUCAAGACGAAGCAAUUGUGGUGGAGCUCGGCACCGAAUGCGGUGCGGGCGGCAGCGCUCGAGGACGGUUACGAGAUCGUCUCGUCCAGCGCCUUCGCAGACGUGCGGCGCACGUCAACCAUUGGCAACGCCACAUUCGCAAGUCGAAACAUCGCUGCCGGCACGCGUAUCUUCCACGUCCACGGGCUGGUGCUCCCCUUCCCCACUGUGUACACCAUCUACCUCGGUGAGGGGAAGCACCUGCUCUUUGCAGACGGGGCGCAGUGCCUCGCGCACAGCUGCGACCCGAACACGCGCGUUGUUGUGAAUGCCGAAACAGGCAGCUUUGAUUGCUUCGCGCUGCGCAAUAUCGCUGCGGACGAGCUGAUCUCUUUCAACUACCUGACGACGGAGUGGGACAUGAGUGAGCCAUUCACCUGUGCAUGCGGCAGCAGCAACUGCCAUGGCCGCAUCGCCGGCUUCCGUCACGUGAAGCGGGAGGGUCAGCUGAAGCUCUGGAGCACCGCAACCCGAGCUGUGCAGUCCCUAUUCGCACAGAGCAUUCGGCAGACGGCAAGCACCCUGGCCACGCUCAACAGCACGCUUGUGGCCCCGGCCGACAUGAGCGGCGCUCUCUCGCUCUCUCAGGACCUACCGUCGGGCACGCUGCUCUUCGAGGCGGCGGCGGGCUUCGCCGUGGAAGGCGAUCACGUAUGCUUCGGCGACAUCUUUCUCGCCCACUCCUGCAACGCCUCGGCCGUUCUCUUGGAGGGUCGUGUUUUGUUGAGCGAUGCUUGCACGGCCGGAACCGUUGUCACCCUGAACGUGAACCAGCUGUGCUACAAGCUGGCAAAGCCCUUCACAUGCCACUGUAACGGGGCCGACUGCACACACGUCGUCGGAGGCUUCGCCGCGCUGUCAGAGAAGGAAAAGGAGCGCAUUCUGCUGUGCACGGCGCCAGAUGUGCGCGCAGAGGCGACUGCUGCCGGCUUCAGGACUCCCUGCACGUGCCCCUUGGUGACAGUGAAGGCGAACGGGGCGAUGGGGCAGGCCACCUUCGCGGCACGCAGCAUUCCUAAAGGCACCCGCUUCUUCAAGGUGAACGGGCUUGUGUUGCCCUUUCCGACUGUGUACACCAUCCAGCUGGAGCGGGGCCGCCACCUGCAGUUUGCCGACGGUGCACAAUGCCUUGCGCACAGCUGUACACCAAACGUGCGCAUCAUGGUCGAUGCAGAGAGCCGCUCGCUUGACUGCCUCGCCCUCCGCGACAUUGAGGAGGGGGAGUUGGUCGCCUUCAACUACUUGACGACGGAGUGGGACCUGAGUAGCCCGUUCUCGUGCGUGUGUGGUGCUGACGGUGCCUGCUUCGGGCGCAUUCACGGCCUGAAGUAUCUCUCCGGGGAGCAGCGGCAGCGACUGUGGUGGAUGCUGACCCCAGCAAUGCGCCAGCUGGCAGAUCAGUCAUUCAACUGGAGGGCGCUCUCCGGGGCGCAGCUGCGCACCGACCAAGACGGACGUGUGCGCGCCGCAAAGGAGCUGAAGGAGGGGCUCAUCAUUUUGGAGGCUUUGCAGGUGCAACUGCGAGUCGGCUGCGCGCUUGUGGGUGGCGUGCAGCUGAGGCACAGCUGCGUGCCGACGGCCGCGAUAGUGGAAAGGCGUGUGAUCGUGAUCGGGACUGUCUGUGCCCAGACGGAGAUCACGCUGGAUCUGAACUGUCUGGCCUUCACCCUGGCGGAGCCGUUCACGUGCACGUGCGCCGCCGACGCGGCCCCGCACACGGUGAAGGGCUUUGCCGCUCUGUCCGCGGCGGCGCAGGCGACACGGCUGAUUCUCACCGAGCCAUCAGUGCGUGCGGCAGCUCUGCGUGAUGGCUACCAAGUCCCGUGCAGCUGUCCGCUUGUGGAGGUGCACGCGAACGGCGAAAUGGGCCAAGCGACGUUUGCUGCCGUCGACAUCGCAGCAGGCAUCUGUUUCUUCCAAGUGAAGGGGCUGUGCAUCCCGUAUCCGACCCUGGACACCAUCAUGUUGGACGAGGGUCGCCAUCUGCUCUUUGCGGAUGGGGCGCAGUGUCUCGCGCACAGCUGCGACCCCAACGUGCGCGUUCGUGUCGACGCAAUGAACAACAUGCUCGAGUGCCAGGCGCUGCGGCCGAUCAAGGCUGGCGAGCUCAUCGCCUUCAACUAUAACGCGACGGAGUGGGACAUGAGCACGCCGUUUCGCUGCCUGUGCGGUUCGCCGCAGUGCUUGUACGAGAUUCGCGGCUUCAAGCACCUCUCCCAGGCUCAGCGCGCGUUGCUCCAGCGCCAGGCGACACCGGCCAUCAAGGCUCUGGCCUCUGCUUACGCGGACGUGCAGCUGCCCGCGACGCUGCUGCGUGCGGCGCCGGAUGGCCGCCUCAAGUCUGCGCGUGCGGUGGCCAAAGGCGACAUCCUUCUGGAGGUAAUGUACCUGGAUGUGCAGCCGAAUCAGAUAUGUGUCGGUCGUCACUACGUGGUGCCGCACGACACCGACCGGUACAACUGUGUACUGGUCGAGGGGCGCCUCAUCGCCAGCCGCCCCGUGGCUUCCGACGAGCAGCUCUCGGUGAACAUGAACUUCUUCGUGUACGACAUGACGGCGAUUUUCCCGCACACCUUCGACGACGCCUGCAAGGGGUUCAAGUUCAUGGACGAGUCAGUCAAGCAGGAGUGCCUCUACCUCUGCGAGCCGCCGGUGCGUGCUCACGCAAUGUGGGACGGCUGGAUUGUGAAGAGUUCGCAGGACGCUCUCGUGGUGCGGCCCAACGGCGACAUGGGCCAGACCGCCUACGCGCGCAAAGACAUCCCAGCUGGGACAAGGCUAUUCCACUGCACCGGACUUGUGAUACCCUUUCCCACCAUGUACACCAUCUGUGUUGGCGUUCAUCGGCACCUGCUCUUCGGCGACGCUGCAGAGUGUAUCGCCCACCAUUGCGAUCCGAAUGUCGAGGUGCGCGUCGGCGAGUCUGGCGAGGGCACCUUUGACUUUGUGACGAUCCGUGACAUCGCGAGGGAUGAGAUGAUCGCCUUCAACUACACGACAACGGAAUGGGACAUGAACACGCCAUUUGUGUGCCUCUGCGGCUCACCCAAGUGUGCCGGGACGAUUCAGGGCUUCAAGCACCUCCAGGAAGCUGAGCAGCAGCGGCUGUGGCCAAUCACGUCAAAGGUGGUGAAGGAUCAGUGGAAGCUGUACACCGCGUCCGCCUAGACCAGACACACGCACACGCAUGCGAAAACGAAAAAAAAAUGUUGCCGGCAGUGUGUAUAAUUGACGUAAACGGAAAGCGGAUGGCUCGAAAGGUGGCGAGGCAGUGCCUCAGAUAGCGAUGCGCGCCUGAGUGCAAGCACGCCCAGAGAGAGAGAUGGAGCACGAACGACGUCCCUCGCUGUGCUGCACGUGUGUGAGGUCCCUCUCCCGUCCUUCUACUUUCUCCUGUCCUACUUUUGCUUGCCUUUUUACUUCCCUUAAUAUAUAUAUAUAUGCAUACACGUAUGUGUGUGUGUGUGACAG